AAAUUGAAGAGUUUGAUCAUGGCUCAGAUUGAACGCUGGCGGCAGGCCUAACACAUGCAAGUCGAACGGUAACAGGAAACAGCUUGCUGUUUUGCUGACGAGUGGCGGACGGGUGAGUAAUGUCUGGGAAACUGCCUGAUGGAGGGGGAUAACUACUGGAAACGGUAGCUAAUACCGCAUAACGUCGCAAGACCAAAGAGGGGGACCUUCGGGCCUCUUGCCAUCGGAUGUGCCCAGAUGGGAUUAGCUAGUAGGUGGGGUAACGGCUCACC
rnacentral:rRNA from 1 species